ACAGGUUAAGCACACAGGUCUUGGCUAAACUGGAGGUUAGACACUUAGGGCUAAGCUGGAUUUCAACACCUAGAAGACUGCUUUUUAGACAUUUAACAGCCACUUAAUUAUAAGCAACUGUGUUACUCACAAGACCGUGGUCCUGAAACUCCAAACAGUACUGAUGUUGCCCAUGAGGACCCAGGGCUCUCCAUGACCCACCAUGCGGGGGAGAGUCCCUUCAACUUGGAAAGGGGGAGGUGGUGAGUGUUGAGAUGCUCAGUACCCUGGGGUUGCGGUGUCGAGUGACGAGCAUGAGCAACAGCUGGAAGGCUACCAACAGCUGGUGGCUCUGUCUUGAAGGCUGAGCACUCAGCCUUGUGUUGCUUCAGAAAUGUGCACACUAGCCCAAGGGCGGGCUUCAGCAGGACUCUGCAAAAUGGCUUUAAAGAGAUCUGCGGUGGGCUCAUCGUGUUCAGGGGACAUCUGGUAGGGCUGGACAGAGCCCGCGGAGCCAGCCAAGGGGCUCGGUGCACAACUCCUGUGCCAGUAAGACAGACAGUUUAGCAAGCAGGAUAUUUCCAGACGACGCAAACCUCCCGCGGCCGACCCCAGGACUCUGGCCGGUGCCGUGGUAACUGGGUGACUGUGGGCUGUCUCCACAGCAGCGGCCCCUCCUGAUGCCACUCCAGAGUCCUCAUUAGUUUGAGGGACCUGUUUGAGGUUGCCGUGGAGCUGGACCCACAGGGCGGCUGAGGCCAGAGACUCCAGACUCCUGGUGUCAGAAGUAAAUUAAAGGCGGUGAAGAAUGAGUGUGUGAUCCAGGGGCCAGCCGGGACCCCUGGACGAUUGUGGCUUCACAGGGCCAGGCGGCUUUGUUGGCCCUCGUCCAGCUGACAGCCAGCCCCAGUGGGCAAACACCAAGAAAAUUGUGAUGGGGCAGAGGAUUGUUGACCAAAUGUGAAAAAAGAAGGUGACAAGCCUGAGAAAAGGCUACGAAGGGCAAACACAGCAGGACUGCUGACCCCGGAGACUUCCCACGCUGGCUGAAAACCUCAGCCGUCAACCUCCAGGGUGGGCAUCGUGUCCUGUGUAAGCUAAAGUGUCCUACACAAGCCCCGCGGGGGUCUCGACUGGCCUUCCUCAGAGACCUGGGCGCCUUUCCACCAGCCUCAAACCCUAACCUGUCAUGCUUCAGGAAGGGCAGCAUCGAGUGGGCACUCUUUCCAGGAGACCACAGCCAUCCCUGGGGGGUGGUUCUGGGGUGCCAGAUCUCAUGGUGGUCACCCUGGGCAGGACUGAGGGCUUGGCCCAGAGAAGACAGGCUGGGAGGAUGUCUAUACAGAUAAAUGGUCAAAGCACCAUCAAGGCCCACACAGACACGUGGUACCGUCUGGAACAGGCUGGGUGAAGUGGGGAAUGGGUCUUCUGGAAUGAUGACUUAGACUUGGAAGAUGGGUACCAAAGCAUCAGAAGGUCAUGGGAUGAUGCCGAAGCAGUGACAAAGAAAACCUUAAGACUCACAGCCCAGAAAUUAGCUCAGUAAGCAGAGAGGCCAACACUUGGUCCCACCCAGCAAGACAGUCCCACUUUUCCUAAUGCCCAAGGUCGAGGGGCUGGUUUGAAGAUCUACCCCAUGAGCUGCAAUGGUGAGUUGUCUCAUAGCCUCACCCUGCACGGCGUCUCCUCCUGUGAGCCUGGCCCACAGACAACAGGGAAGAGGAGUCAGAAAGGGUCUGCAUGUGGGUAUUUCCUGCACUGAGCUGUGUCGUACGUUCUCAGGGAAGCCCCAUGUGAUGCCGGGGUCAAAGCUGGCUAUGAAAUCCUGGCACUGUGACUGGGUGUAAGACAGGCCUGGAAAUGUCUGCUACAAGACACUCCCUACUCAACAAUCUGAUCUGGAUACACAGAGGGAAGCGAGCAUCUUAUCGAGGAGGUGUUUACUCAGUUGGUAUUUGUUAGGGGCAUCUGUAUGCACAGCAUCUGCUCUGCCCCGGAGCGCCUGCUGUCUGCCUCUUCACUUGCCGUCUGCAGGAGCCUGGCCCUUGACGUGUGACGCUGUGCCUUCUGUGUGCUCAUAGGAAUUGAACAAAACUGAACACUUUUCUUACCUGUGGGAUUUGUUAGAAGCUCCAACAUGCAGAGGUUCCUUGCGAGUCUCCUUAAGCAACGGGGAUGUGGUGAGGGCCUCGGGUGCCUGGCCUGAUGGUUUUAGAACGUUUCUGCAUAUGGACACCACUCCCUCCAAAAAGUGGAGCCUAAUUCCCUUCCCCUGGACAUGGGCUAGGCCUAGUGAUCCCAGAGUAGGGAGUGGGAUGUGGCGCUCUGUGCCCGCUGGGACGAGGUCAGAGAAAGGGCAGCUUCCUCGUGGAUCAGCUGCCAUGUCGUAGGAGGCUCAAAUAGCCUGUUCAAGGCUUGUAUUGGGUGGGUCUGAGGCCUCCCACCCACACACGGCCCUGGCCCCUAGCCAUGUGAAGAGCAGGGGAGACCUGGCCCGGGUCUAACCUCCAGACGAAUGGGCAACCUGGACCCACAGCUUGACCCUAUCCUCUCGAGAGCCUGGAGCUCCCAAAUUCCUGACCCGUAGAAACUGCGAGGCUAGUAAAUGGUCAAUAUUGUUAUGUGUCUUGUUCUGCAGCAGCAGCAGCUAGUCAGCAGGCUUGGCAUAGAGGUUUGGGUUUUGUUCUGGAGGAAAUGGGGUAGGAGGUGGUCAGGUGUGGCACAGGUAUGACAAAGAGCCAGUGAAGAUUGGAAGAUUGGGAGAUGCCUCACAACAGCAGGGCUGGAGGCCGGAGUGUGUAAGCGGCCUGGACUGGGUCGGACUGGAAGAAUAACCCACAUCCAGGGCUCUUCCUUGUGUCUACACCCCAGCUGUGUGGAGAGAUAGUCCUCGUGAAGCAGGCAAACAGGGCUUGAGGGGAAGAAGCUGUGCUCAUCUGUGCUGGUCUGUACAGAUGACAGGAACCUUUGCUCACACUUGCUUAGGCGACCCUUCAUGGUGCUUUUGAUAUAAAAGCAGGAUCUUUUUUUAAAGUUUAUUUAUUUUGAGAGAAAGGAGGGGAGAGAGAGAGAGGGAGAGGGAGAGGGCAUGCGCGUGGUCAUGUGAGUGAGAGAGGGGCAGAGAGAGAGGGAGAGAGAGAAUCCCAAGCAGGUUCCGCGCUGUCAGCACAGAGCCCAACACGGGGCUCAAACUCACAAACGGUGAAAUCAUGACUCGAGCCGAAAUCAAGAGUUGGAUGAUUAACCGACGAAGCCACGUGGGCGUCCCUGAAACCAUGUUCUUAAUACUCAUGCCUAAUUAUUUUAAUAAAGAAAUAAGAAUAUGUUUGUGGUUGUGCGGAGGCCACAGGACUGGCAGACAGCUCCCAGAGGCCCCAGAGGACUAAGGGCAGAAAGAGGGCAGAGGAGCCCAGCAGAAAGUCAGAGAAGCAGGGAUGCUCGGGUCCCCUGAGGGGGAGGCCCCUACUCGGGGAUUAGUCUGGGAGAAGGCAGGCCGCCGGGCAGAGCACACGUGGGAGCAGCAGGCUGCUGGCGGGCUGUGGGACACUGCGUUGCUCUACAAAACUGGGAGCUCCUUGAAAUAUUAAACGCAGAGCUACACACGACGACCCAGCAAUCCCAGUCGUAGGCAUAAUCCUGAGAGAAAUGAAGAUGUAUGUCCACACAAAAACUUGUAUAUGGCAUUAUUCAUAAUUGCUGAAAAGUAGGAAAGACCCAAAUGUUCAUCCGCAGAUGGAUAAACAAAACACGGUCCAUCAACCCCAUGGAAGAUCAUUCAGCAAAGAAAUGAGGCGCUGACGGGCGUGAGCACGCGGGCGAACCCUGACGUGUGUUCUGUGGGAGACGCCAGACACAAACCACAUACUGUAGGGCUCUGUCCGUAUGAAGGGCCC